GAAUAUACCCUAAAACUAUGCAAAAAACAAGUACGAUUUACCCCAAAUCUAUGCUAAAACGUUAAAUAAAAACCAAACACAAGUGCCAAUAAAUGUUUGUUUUAUUUAUGAACCAUCUGUCAUCAGGAAAAGGAACCAAGUGCAACAGAACAAAACAAAGAAGUGCAGGGACCGGGAGCUGUGGAGGAACCGGAACUGAGUGGAACAGAACUAAACAAAGAAGCUCAGGAACAGGGGGUUGAGAAUGUAGAGGUGCAGCAGGAGGAGGUGCCUCAGCAGGAGGGACAACAGGAUAACCCUUCCCAAACAGAGGAAGAGCUCAAUACCCCUGAGGAUAUUUUAGUUUCCCCAUACCAACCAGAUGCACAGCUAAUUGAGCCACAAACUCUGCCCAACCGCACUCUCCGAUUCCAGGAGAGCUGGUUCAAAGACUACCCCUGGCUACAUUACAGUUCUGAAAUUAAAGGAGUUUUGUGUUUCUACUGUGUAAAGGCCUUUAAACAUAAUAUUCCAACAAUGGCCAGAAAUACAGAACAAACCUUCAUUUCCUUGGGGUUCAGGAACUGGAAGAAGGGUAGGGGGGCGUUCGACAAGCACACCAACAGUAAGGCACACAUUGUUG